rnacentral:rRNA from 1 species
GCUUGCUUUUCAAAACUUAGCGGCGGACGGGUGAGUAACACGUGGGCAACCUGCCCUUGAGACGGGGAUAACUCCGGGAAACCGGAGCUAAUACCGGAUAACACAUAUCUUCGCAUGAGGAUAUGUUAGAAGGUGGCUUUUAGCUACCACUCAAGGAUGGGCCCGCGGCGCAUUAGCUAGUUGGUGAGGUAACGGCUCACCAAGGCGACGAUGCGUAGCCGACCUGAGAGGGUGAUCGGCCACACUGGGACUGAGACACGGCCCAGACUCCUACGGGAGGCAGCAGUAGGGAAUCUUCCGCAAUGGACGAAAGUCUGACGGAGCAACGCCGCGUGAGUGAUGAAGGUUUUCGGAUCGUAAAGCUCUGUUGUUAGGGAAGAACAAGUAUCUGUUGAAUAAGCAGGUACCUUGACGGUACCUAACCAGAAAGCCACGGCUAACUACGUGCCAGCAGCCGCGGUAAUACGUAGGUGGCAAGCGUUGUCCGGAAUUAUUGGGCGUAAAGCGCGCGCAGGCGGUUCCUUAAGUCUGAUGUGAAAGCCCACGGCUCAACCGUGGAGGGUCAUUGGAAACUGGGGAACUUGAGUGCAGAAGAGGAGAGCGG